rnacentral:rRNA from 1 species
GAUCCUGGCUCAGGAUGAACGCUAGCUACAGGCUUAACACAUGCAAGUCGAGGGGAAACGAUAUUGGAAGCUUGCUUCCGAUAGGCGUCGACCGGCGCACGGGUGAGUAACGCGUAUCCAACCUGCCCACCACUUGGGGAUAACCUUGCGAAAGUAAGACUAAUACCCAAUGAUAUCUCUAGAAGACAUCUGAAAAGAGAUUAAAGAUUUAUCGGUGAUGGAGUGGGGAUGCGUCUGAUUAG